rnacentral:rRNA from 1 species
AUUAGAUACCCGCGUAGUCCUAGCCGUAAACGAUACUCGCUAGGUGUCGGCCACGGUGCGACCGUUGUCGGUGCCGUAGGGAAGCCGUGAAGCGAGCCACCUGGGAAGUACGGCCGCAAGGCUGAAACUUAAAGGAAUUGGCGGGGGAGCACCACAACGGGUGGAGCUUGCGGUUUAAUUGGAUUCAACGCCGGAAAUCUUACCGGGACCGACAGCAAUAUGAAGGCCAGGCUGAAGACUUUGCCGGAUUAGCUGAGAGGUGGUGCAUGGC